rnacentral:rRNA from 1 species
GACGAACGCUGGCGGCGUGCUUAACACAUGCAAGUCGAACGGUGAAGCGCCUUCCUUUUUGGUGGGUGUGGAUGAGUGGCGAACGGGUGAGUAACACGUGAGUAACCUGCCCCCUUCUUCUGGAUAACCGCAUGAAAGUGUGGCUAAUACGGGAUAUUCUGGGUCUGUCGCAUGAUGGGUCUGGGACAGAUAUUGUUUCGGUGGGGGAUGGGCUCGCGGCCUAUCAGCUUGUUGGUGGGGUGAUGGCCUACCAAGGCGGUGACGGGUAGCCGGCCUGAGAGGGUGGACGGUCACACUGGGACGGAGACACGGCCCAGACUCCGACGGGAGGCAGCAGUGGGGAAUAUUGCACAAUGGGCGCAAGCCUGAUGCAGCGACGCCGCGGGAGGGAUGGAGGCCUGCGGGUUGUGAACCUCUUUCGCCAGUGAAGCAGGCCUGCCUCGUUUGUGGGUGGGUUGACGGUAGCUGGAUAAGAAGCGCCGGCUAACUACGUG